UUUGCUGUUGCUAUAAGAAAGGAAUUUGGAUAUAGUUUCAUGGGUAUGUACACUGAUUCAGAACUUGUACCACCAUGGACAUACUACUAACAACACUUUAUAGUCUUAGCACACAUUUAUACUUAUGCCUUGUUCUUAAACAGCCCAGAAUAUCAAAUGAAAUUUCUCAAUCAAAGACAGAGUAAAUGAGAGGCAGUAAUGUCAAAAAGAAAUGUUCAUUUCAAAAUCACUCAAAGCUUUACAUGAUUACUACAUCACAGCUAACAGAUAAAGCAUGAAGUAAUACAAAGGUGAAACCAACCAUAUAUGGGAGUCUACAUUAUGUACCUUCAGCAGCAAAAUAAACAAUAAAAUGUAUUCUAAUUCUGGAGUUCAGCAGCAGAUACCAGCAACAACCAAACCAAAAAAAAGUUUGGGGAUAUAACUAACAACCCAGAAUCAACUUGGAACCAAGGAAUCAAGCUGAAGAAUCUGGAAAAAUCUUCUAUUCAAACCAUGUUUUCCACUUGUAAAGCAAUAGUAGAUUUCUGAUAUUUUUAAAAGCUAUUUUGCGUCCCAAAGUUUUUAGAGAGAAGAAUGUAACUUUUUUAGAGAAACUUG
rnacentral:lncRNA from 1 species